AUUGUUUGUUGUUUGUUGUUUGUUGUU
rnacentral:sRNA from 1 species